rnacentral:rRNA from 1 species
GAAACUGCGAAUGGCUCAUUAAAUCAGUUAUCGUUUAUUUGAUAGUACCUUUACCUGGAUAACCGUGGUAAUUCUAGAGCUAAUACAUGCUAAAAACCCCGACUUCGGAAGGGGUGUAUUUAUUAGAUAAAAAACCAAUGCCCUCUGGGCUCCUUGGUGAUUCAUAAUAACUUAACGAAUCGCAUGGCCUUGCGCCGGCGAUGGUUCAUUCAAAUUUCUGCCCUAUCAACUUUCGAUGGUAAGAUAGAGGCUUACCAUGGUCUUAACGGGUAACGGAGAAUUAGGGUUCGAUUCCGGAGAGGGAGCCGGAGGAACGGCUACCACAUCCAAGGAAGGCAGCAGGCGCGCAAAUUACCCAAUGCUAAUUCAGCGAGGUAGUGACAAUAAAUACUGAUACGGGGCUCUUUCGGGUCUCGUAAUUGGAAUGAGUACAAUCUAAAUCCCUUAACGAGGAACAAUUGGAGGGCAAGUCUGGUGCCAGCAGCCGCGGUAAUUCCAGCUCCAAUAGCGUAUAUUAAAGUUGUUGCCGUUAAAAAGCUCGUAGUUGAACCUUGGACCUGGCUGAUCUGUCCUCCUAAU